rnacentral:lncRNA from 1 species
GUUGUCCUGUUUGAUGUUUGUCUGGAUACACGUGGAACAAGAGACCCUUCAACAGUCUGGUGUUUCCUGUAAACAAAAGCUUGCCAGUAUCCAGUUCACCUACAAUACUGAUAUAACUCAGUUCCGACAGCUCUGUUUGGAUGACAUCCGUAGGGCCUUUUUCCUUGGUUUUCUUUUUAUUAACUGCAUUUUUUGGAACUGGAAAUAUAGCUUCUAUUAACAGCUUUGACCUUGCCUCUGUGUAUUGCUUUCUGACUGUGUUUAGUCCUUUCAUGAUGGGAGCGCUCAUGAUGUGGAAGAUUUUAAUUCCUUUUGUUCUUGUGAUGUGUGCUUUUGAAGCAGUUCAGAUAACUACACAGCUGUCAUCAAAAGGCCUUUUUCUUGUCGUUCUUGUCAUAUCAGACAUCAUGGCUUUGGUAAGGCACAAUUGCAUAUUUGGUAUAAGUAGGAUUGGGAAACCUAACAUCAGCCACUAUGUGAUUGUCAUGUCCAUGACCAUCUUUCUGGUGUUUCUUAAUGGCCUGGCACAAUUGCUCACAACAAAGAAACUCCAACUGUGUGGCAAGCCCAAAAGCCAUCUCAUGUGAUGUUGGUGAAGCCGUCAGUCAGCAUCUGCAUUCUGUUUCUCCUUCUUAAAGAAAAGUCCCACCAAGGAUUCAAGAAAAUGGAUAUUGGACCAGCAAGAUGGCUCAGCUGGUAAAAGUGCUUGUUGCACAAACUGACAACCUGAGUUUGAUCCCUGAAACCCACACUGGAAGGAGAAAACAGACUUUCAAAGGCUCCAACUUUGGCCUCCGAGUACAUGCUGUGACACACAUAUACCAUGUACUUGCAUACAUGUCAUGCACAUAUAUAUCACACACAUACAUGUUAACACUGCAGUUUUAAGAGACGAUGGAUAAUAAUGCACAGUACGUUCUCUUCUAGAGAAUGUUGCAUCUGGCAUUCUGGAUUUACAGGUGUUCUGAAAUAAUAGAGCUUCCUGUUUCUUUUGGUUAACA